rnacentral:rRNA from 1 species
AUACGAAGGGGGCUAGCGUUGUUCGGAAUUACUGGGCGUAAAGCGCACGUAGGCGGACUUUUAAGUCAGAUGUGAAAUCCCGGGGCUCAACCUCGGAACUGCAUUUGAAACUGGAAGUCUAGAGACCAGGAGAGGUUAGCGGAAUACCGAGUGUAGAGGUGAAAUUCGUAGAUAUUCGGAGGAACACCAGUGGCGAAGGCGGCUUACUGGCUCGAUACUGACGCUGAGGUGCGAAAGUGUGGGGAGCAAACAGGAUUAGAUACCCUGGUAGUCCACACCGUAAACGAUGAAUGCCAGACGUCAGCAAGUAUACUUGUUGGUGUCACACCUAACGGAUUAAGCAUUCCGCCUGGGGAGUACGGCCGCAAGGUUAAAACUCAAAGAAAUUGACGGGGGCCCGCACAAGCGGUGGAGCAUGUGGUUUAAUUCGAAGCAACGCGCAGAACCUUACCAACCCUUGACAUCCUGAUCGCGGUUACGAGAGAUCGUUUCCUUCAGUUCGGCUGGAUCAGUGACAGGU